rnacentral:sRNA from 1 species
GCCUCAUAAUUGUAUAUUCUCUAACAUUCUUCCAAUGUAUGCUCCACAGUAGUGUGAUUCUUGAUACUCUUUCAUUUCAAUUUUCUUUCUUAUAAGAACCUCUUCAUAUGACCCCUUUUUCUGAUUCCUUUCCCUUUUCCUUUCUUAAUCAAUUCGUAAUCUGUAUAUAAGAUAGUACUAGGGCCGUUAAUUGGUAGUGCGCGGACGCUAAAAUAUCUAAUAGUAAUAUCAUGUGCAGCGAGUGAGAGACAGCUGAGGCAACUGCAUCCGCUCAACAGAAUCUUCUAUUCUUGGCUCAGCUAGCUACAUUAUUAUUAUAUCAGAGCCACCUCAAGCAUGUUUAGAAUUGCGAUUGUGGGC